rnacentral:rRNA from 1 species
GGGUGAACGCUGGCGGCGUGCUUGACACAUGCAAGUCGAACGGUAUAUGGCAACACAUAGAGUGGCGAGCGGGUGAGUAACACGUGGGAACGUACAUUCUGCAGGGGGAUAACUGACCGAAAGGACAGCUAAUACCGCAUAAGACCGAGAGGAGAAAGGUGCAACAGCAUCGGCAGAGGAGCGGCCCGCGGACCAUCAGCUAGUUGGUGGGGUAAGAGCCUACCAAGGCAACGACGGAUAGCCGGCGUGAGAGCGUGGCCGGCCACAAGGACACUGAGAUACGGGUCCUACUCCUACGGGAGGCAGCAGUGCGGAAUUUUAGAUAAUGGAGGCAACUCUGAUCUAGCGACGCCGCGUGCAGGAAGAAGGUCUUCGGAUUGUAAACUGCUGUGGUAAGGGAAAAAUGCCAUGUAGAGUGGAAAGCUACAUGGAGGGAUGGUACUUUACUAGAAAGCCCCGGCUAACUACGUGCCAGCAGCCGCGGUAAUACGUAGGGGGCGAGCGUUACCCGGAAUCACUGGGCGUAAAGGGAGCGUAGGUGGCCUGACAUGUCGACUGUGAAAACCCGGAGCUCAACUCCGGACUUGCAGUUGAAACUGCCAGGCUUGAGGACGGUAGAGGAAGACGGAACUGCCAGUGUAGGGGUAAAAUCCUUAGAUAUUGGCAGGAACGCCGGUGACGAAGGUGGUUUUCUGGGCCGGUUCUGACACUGAUGCUCGAAAGCCAGGGGAGCGAACGGGA